GCGAACGCUGGCGGCAGGCUUAACACAUGCAAGUCGAGCGGGCACUUCGGUGUCAGCGGCAGACGGGUGAGUAACACGUGGGAACGUACCCUUUGGUUCGGAAUAACGCUGGGAAACUAGCGCUAAUACCGGAUACGCCCUUUUGGGGAAAGGCUUGCUGCCGAAGGAUCGGCCCGCGUCUGAUUAGCUAGUUGGUGGGGUAAUGGCCUACCAAGGCGACGAUCAGUAGCUGGUCUGAGAGGAUGAUCAGCCACACUGGGACUGAGACACGGCCCAGACUCCUACGGGAGGCAGCAGUGGGGAAUAUUGGACAAUGGGCGCAAGCCUGAUCCAGCCAUGCCGCGUGAGUGAUGAAGGCCUUAGGGUUGUAAAGCUCUUUUGUCCGGGACGAUAAUGACGGUACCGGAAGAAUAAGCCCCGGCUAACUUCGUG
rnacentral:rRNA from 1 species